rnacentral:rRNA from 1 species
GCCCUUCGGGGUGCCCAGGCGCGAAAACUUUACAAUGCUGGCAACAGCGAUAAGGGGACCUUGAGUGCCAAGAUACAAUCCUGGCUGUCGUGAUGCCUAAAAAGCAUUGUAUAGCAAGGGCCGGGCAAGACCGGUGCCAGCCGCCGCGGUAACACCGGCGGCUCGAGUGGUAACCGCUAUUAUUGGGUCUAAAGGGUCUGUAGCCGGCUUGGUUAGUCUCUUGGGAAAUCCGGCAGCUUAACUGUCAGGCUUUCAGGAGAUACUGCCAGGCUCGAAACCGGGAGAGGUGAGAGGUACUUCAUGGGUAGGGGUAAAAUCUUGUAAUCCUUGAAGGACCACCAGUGGCGAAGGCGUCUCACCAGAACGGAUCUGACGGCAAGGGACGAAAGCUAGGGGCACGAACCGGAUUAGAUACCCGGGUAGUCCUAGCCGUAAACGAUACUCGCUAGGUGUCGGACACGGUGCGACCGUGGUCGGUGCCGUAGGGAAGCCGUGAAGCGAGCCACCUGGGAAGUACGGCCGCAAGGCUGAAACUUAAAGGAAUUGGCGGGGGAGCAC